rnacentral:rRNA from 1 species
GUGAGUAACGCGUGGGAACCUGCCCUGGAGCGGGGGAUAGCCCGGAGAAAUCCGGAUUAAUACCGCAUAAUCUCUACGGAGUAAAGAGGGCCUCUAUUUAUAAGCUUUCACUAUUUGAUGAGCCUGCGUAAGAUUAGCUUGUUGGUGAGGUAAAAGCUCACCAAGGCGACGAUCUUUAGCUGGUCUGAGAGGAUGAUCAGCCACACUGGGACUGAGACACGGCCCAGACUCC